UACGUUCCCGGGCCUUGUACACACCGCCCGUCACGCCAUGGAAGCCGGGAGUACCCGAAAGCGGUGUCCCAACCCGCAAGGGAGGGAGCCGUCUAAGGUAAACUCGGUGACUGGGGCG
rnacentral:rRNA from 1 species